GAUGAACGCUGGCGGCGUGCCUAAUACAUGCAAGUCGAACGCAUAGCUAAAGGUGUUUGCACCUUUCCAGUGACUGCCGACGGGGUGAUUAACACUUGGUCAACCUGCCUUAAGGCUGGGGUUACCUCUUGGAAACAGAUGCUAAUCCCGAUUAAAACUUAGUCUCCCAUGAUCCAUAGUUAAAAGCCGCUUUGCCGUCACCUAGAGAUGGAUCCGCGGUGCAUUAGUUAGUUGGUGGGGUAAAGGCCUACCAAGACAAUGAUGCAUAGCCGAGUUGAGAGAGUGAUCGGCCACAUUGGGAAUGAGACACGGCCCAAACUCCUACGGGAGGCUGCAGUAGGGAAUCUUCCACAAUGGGCGAAAGCCUGAUGGAGCAACGCCGCGUGUGGGAUGAAGGGUUUCGGGUCGGAAAACACUGUUGUAUGGGAAGAACAGAUAGAAUAGGAAAUGAUGUUAGUUUGACGGUACCAUACCAGAAAGGGACGGCUAAAUACGUG
rnacentral:rRNA from 1 species